rnacentral:rRNA from 1 species
CGGCGGACGGGUGAGUAACGCGUGGGUAACCUACCCUGUACACACGGAUAACAUACCGAAAGGUAUGCUAAUACGGGAUAAUAUAUUUGAGAGGUAUCUCUUGAAUAUCAAAGGUGAGCCAGUACAGGAUGGACCCGCGUCUGAUUAGCUAGUUGGUAAGGUAACGGCUUACCAAGGCGACGAUCAGUAGCCGACCUGAGAGGGUGAUCGGCCACAUUGGAACUGAGACACGGUCCAA